GAUUGUAUCCUGGGAAGCCCAGAGCCCUUUUGAGUUGUUGAAUCUUCUGACUCUCUGCUCUCAAGGCAGCUCCCUAUGCAACUUGUCCUCAAGCCAUGUCCAUAAGAGUGGCAUUCAAGAAGUAAAGACAGACUGAACUACAGCUGAAUAGAAAUCUUCAAGAAAGAGAUGGAGAGGAACAUUAUCACCAACUAUCCAUGACACAAACCUGAGAGACUACUAUGAUGCCUACUUUCACUUCUCCAUCCAUUACAGUAACCACACUCCCCUUAUCUUCGAUGAUUAACUACCAUCACUUGGCUCAUGUCACCUGGGGAUCCCAUUAUCUCCAUUGCCUUUAGGGAUCCCUGCUCAACAGCAGCAGUUUCCGCUGGAAUUUCU
rnacentral:lncRNA from 1 species